GUGACCUCAAAUCAGGUAGGACUACCCGCUGAACUUAAGCAUAUCAAUAAGCGGAGGAAAAGAAACUAACAAGGAUUCCCCUAGUAACUGCGAGUGAAGUGGGAAAAGCUCAAAUUUAAAAUCUGGCAGUCUCUGGCUGUCCGAGUUGUAAUCUAGAGAAGUGUUAUCCGCGCUGGACCGUGUACAAGUCUCCUGGAAUGGAGCGUCAUAGAGGGUGAGAAUCCCGUCUUUGACACGGACUGCCAGGGCUUUGUGAUGCGCUCUCAAAGAGUCGAGUUGUUUGGGAAUGCAGCUCAAAAUGGGUGGUAAAUUCCAUCUAAAGCUAAAUAUUGGCGAGAGACCGAUAGCGAACAAGUACCGUGAGGGAAAGAUGAAAAGAACUUUGGAAAGAGAGUUAAACAGUACGUGAAAUUGCUGAAAGGGAAACGCUUGAAGUCAGUCGCGUUGGUCAGGGAUCAACCUUGCUUUUGCUAGGUGUACUUUCUGGUUGACGGGUCAGCAUCAAUUUUGAUCAUUGGAAAAAGAUUAGGGGAAUGUGGCAUCCUUGGAUGUGUUAUAGCCCUUGGUUGUAUACAAUGGUUGGGAUUGAGGAGCUCAGCACGCCGCAAGGCCGGGUUUUUACCACGUACGUGCUAGGAUG
rnacentral:rRNA from 2 species